CCAGGAAUAAACAAAAUUAUGUGUGGGGGCGGUGGCGGGGAGGGGCUGGACGCAGUUGCUCAGAAAGGACAGGCAGGUUACCUUUUUAUUUUUCGGACGAAGAGCUGCAAGGUUUUGAGGUCUAACAAAGAUUGGAAGGGCGGCCUGGAUAGUAGGUUUAAUCUCAGUGGGCAAAGAAGUCUCCUUUGCAAAGGUGAGCCGUCCAGAGUCAGCUGAGAUGGGCAGCUAUAGAAAUCAAAUAAAUAACAACAAAAAUAAAACAAAUAAAUAUGGGGUUCUUUGAACAGGUGCAAUCCUCACACACAUUAAAAAUGGAAUAUGUAU